UGGCCGACAAAGACAAAUCCAAGAAAGAAGAGAAGGAAAAGAAGCCAGACCUCGGUUUAUUGGAAGAAGAUGACGAAUUUGAAGAAUUUCCAGCAGAAGACUGGAACAGUGCAGAUGAAGAUGAGAAGGACAUUAAUGUUUGGGAGGAUAACUGGGACGAUGACAAUGUAGAUGAUGAUUUAUCAGUUCAGCUAAGGAGUGAACUUGAAAAGUUUUGUAAAAAUUCUGAUGGCCAUGAACCUAUGAAGAAGUAGCAGGAAGCAUUCGAUAUCAUCUCUCAUCAUCAUAAACCUCAUUUCAUAGACAGUGUGCUGAUUCAGAGUUCAGCAGGACAGUCACUCAACUUUAUUUUUUAUCUAUUCUUGAAUCCUUACAAAUGUUUAGUGAAGUUGUUUUAAAAGCAAUGACACAUAAAAAGUUUGUCCAUCUGGAAAAUAUGGAGUAAUUAACUAAAAGAAUGCGCGAACAAUAUUAGAGAUUUUAUCUGUUAUAAUUAUCAUGACAAUGUCAUUAAGUGCUCAUGUUACACAAGGAUAUUUCUAUCAAAAUUAAGGUAAAGACAGUCUUGCUAGUAACAACUUAGUUCUUUCAGUGUUCAUCAUUGAAAUUAUUAUUAAAAAUUGUUUUGAUAUUAAAUAUUGUUUAUUCCUCACAUACACAA